GUGCAGCAUCAUCAAGAUUCACAUCCUUUUCAGCUUCUGAUACCAAUAAACCCUUACAUGAUAACAAAGAUGUGCCUUCAGUGCUAGGCUUCUCAUUUUGGUUAUUACUAUUAUCGUAAUUGUCCCUGCAACCCUUGCUAUCCAACAGAUGAGAAUCUUGAUGAUGCUGCAU
rnacentral:pre_miRNA from 1 species